GUGCUGUUGUGACACGCAGAAUGUUAUGCUCUUGUGAAUGAAUUCUGCUCCCGUCAAUUCCAAGCCUAGACUCCUAGAGCAACAGGAGGAAGAAUGAUUCACCAGCCUGCAACUGGCAGAGCUAAUUACAACUACAGACUCAAAUCGAAGAGUCUGAAGUUCCUGUUCCAUCUCCAGUUUGAAGCCUUCCAUGGCUUGUUUAUGUGUUUCU